AAAGAGCUGGGAUAACGUGGCUGUGUUAGUUGACGAAACUAUUAAACCACAAGCUCCGUGUAGCCCAUUCCUACAGACCCCAACACGCCAGAACAUUAAACCAAAGGCCACUCUAAUAAGGAAUAAGAACACAGCAAACAGACAAUCAGCCCCUGAACAAAGGAUCCGCAAGGGCGAGGGCUACUCGCUCUCCCAUGUGGCUGAAAUCAAUCCUGUUGAAAGACCAUGUGCUUCG